CCUACGGGUGGCUGCAGUGGGGAAUAUUGCACAAUGGGGGAAACCCUGAUGCAGCGACGCCGCGUGAAGGAAGAAGUAUUUCGGUAUGUAAACUUCUAUCAGCAGGGAAGAAAAUGACGGUACCUGACUAAGAAGCCCCGGCUAACUACGUGCCAGCAGCCGCGGUAUUACGUAGGGAGCAAGCGUUAUCCGGAUUUACUGGGUGUAAAGGGAGCGUAGGCGGUGCAGCAAGUCAGAAGUGAAAGCCCGGGGCUCAACUCCGGGACUGCUUUUGAAACUGUUGAACUAGAGUGCAGGAGAGGUAAGUGGAAUUCCUGGUGUAGCGGUGAAAUGCGUAGAUAUUAGGAGGAACACCAGUGGCGAAGGCGGCUUACUGGACUGUAAAUGACGCUGAGGCUCGAAAGCGUGGGGAGCGAACAGGAUUAGAUACCCGAGUAGUC
rnacentral:rRNA from 1 species